UCCUACGGGAGGCAGCAGUGAGGAAUAUUGGACAAUGGGCGCAAGCCUGAUCCAGCCAUGCCGCGUGCAGGAAGACGGCCCUAUGGGUUGUAAACUGCUUUUGUACGGGAAGAAACACCCCCUCGUGAGGGGGCUUGACGGUACCGUAAGAAUAAGGAUCGGCUAACUCCGUGCCA
rnacentral:rRNA from 1 species